rnacentral:lncRNA from 1 species
UAGAUACAAAGCAAACCAUGCAUGCUAUCAUUUGAAAGCCCGACUCAACGUCUUGCUCAAAUUUUCGUUGUUUUUCCGUACGCAAAUUUAUACUGUAUUAAUAAAUAAGAUAUAAAGAAUGUCAUGGAAAACAAUAUGGAGAUAAAAAAGAAAAAAAGCCACAUAGAGAAUAUUGGCAGAAACAAACCUUGGGUUGCCUCCCACAGGUUUAGGAUAGUUGAGGGAGAAAAAGGAAGAGAAGGGUUCCC